AUAUCAAUAAGCGGAGGAAAAGAAACUAACAAGGAUUCCCCUAGUAACUGCGAGUGAAGCGGGAAAAGCUCAAAUUUAAAAUCUGGCGGUCUCCGGCCGUCCGAGUUGUAAUUUAGAGAAGCGUUAUCCGUGCUGGACCGUGUAUAAGUCUCCUGGAAUGGAGCGUCAUAGAGGGUGAGAAUCCCGUCUUUGACACGGACUACCAGUGCAUUGUGAUGCGCUCUCGACGAGUCGAGUUGUUUGGGAAUGCAGCUCAAAAUGGGUGGUAAAUGCCAUCUAAAGCUAAAUAUUGGCGAGAGACCGAUAGCGAACAAGUACCGUGAGGGAAAGAUGAAAAGAACUUUGGAAAGAGAGUUAAACAGUACGUGAAAUUGUCGAAAGGGAAACGGUUGCAGUCAGUCGCGUCCGCCGGGGAUCAACCUUGCUUUUGCUUGGCGUAUUUCCCGGUGGAUGGGUCAGCAUCAGUUUUGACCGCAGUUGAAAGGCUGGAGGAAUGUGGCACCUUCGGGUGUGUUAUAGCCUCCUGUCAUAUGCUGCGGUUGGGACUGAGGAACUCAGCACGCCGCAAGGCCGGGAUUCGUCCACGUUCGUGCUUAGGAUGC
rnacentral:rRNA from 1 species